rnacentral:misc_RNA from 1 species
GAUGAAGAACGUAGCGAAAUGCGAUAAGUAAUGUGAAUUGCAGAAUUCAGUGAAUCAUCGGAUCUUUGAACGCACAUUGCGCCCCCUGGUAUUCCGGGGGGCAUGCCUGUCCGAGCGUCAUUACAACCCUCAAGCUCAGCUUGGUGUUGGGCCCCGCCGCCCCGGCGGGCCCUAAAGUCAGUGGCGGUGCCGUCCGGCUCCGAGCGUAGUAAUUCUUCUCGCUCUGGAGGUCCGGUCGUGUGCUCGCCAGCAACCCCCAAUUUUUUUCAGGUUAACCUCGGAUCAGGUAGGGAUACCCGCUGAACUUAAGCAUAUCAAUAAGCGGAGGA